GUGUAAUUGUUGCUUACAAGAUCUGAGCACGUUACACAAACUGCCACAGGCCCUUUAAAGCCUGUCUAACCUUUAUUGUAACAACUGCUCUGUGUUAUUUAAAUCAUGGGGGAAAAAAUCUCUAUUUAUAUACCUCGGUAGGAUGAUCUCAUAACCCAAUGAACUCCCCUUUGGGGUUACUUCCAAGUCUUUUCUUUUUUAUAAGAAUGAUUUUUCAAAAGCAGUAGUUAAUUGGACGUCAACCUGCUUAUUUUUAGCAGUUGAUCUCUUUGUUUCCCAACAGUUGAUGUUUUUAGGUAAAUACAGAGACCUCACUGCUUGUUUUUCUCCUGGCAAAGCUGCACCAAAGACACCAGAACAUCACAAUCAACUCCCCUCCCGUGCCCGGUCCUGCCUGACGUGAGUUUGGUUGCAAGACCUGGAGUGAAAAUAACUCACCUGCCAGAAGCAAGAUCCCUGAAGCAGAAACAUCCUGGUCCGUAAGAGCUUCCAGGAUGGGGCGGUUUCGCAACGACACUUAAAGAGGGAGCAGAAGGUGCCAACCAAAUUCAGGAGGGAACAUCAAGAAGUGGAUGUUCUGACCCAGAGCAAGGCCGUCACGGUCCAGAAGAACGAAGAGCAAACCUGAUGAAGGUCACGCUGGUUUACCUGUUGUCCUGCUGCUCCCUGAAGGGUUAACAAGGACCUGCAAAGAUGCUGGUGUCAUUUGGAACUCGGCACGUUGGACCCCAACUUGGCUGCUCUCAGAAUGCCACACUGACAAGAGACACCACGAGGAGGAGGAGGGUGACAGCUUUUUAUUGAAUGAGCCGGUAUCAGUGGGGAGAAACAGAGAUUUGCUGCUGUCUGCUGCCAUCGCA